UGGCAUCCUCUGAUAGACCUUCUGCCAUUAUCAGUGGCCUCUAGGUUUGCACUAGGAUGCAACAACAAUCUUCCUUGUACUUUCUAACUGUCUGUAAAGUGGCAGUAGUGAUUGAAGUAAGGAGAAUAAAC
ensembl:snoRNA Small nucleolar RNA SNORA31